rfam:Neotoma lepida isolate 417 scaffold_681, whole genome shotgun sequence.
AUGCUCACUUCAGCACUACAUAGUCUAAAAUUAGAAUUAUACAGAAUAGACAAGCGUGGCCCCUGUACAAGGAUGACACUCAUAUGUGAAGUCUUUCAUAUUUAA